UGCAUAUCAAAAGCGGAGGAAAAGAAACCAACAGGGAUUGCCUUAGUAGCGGCGAGUGAAGCGGCAAAAGCUCAAAUUUGAAAUCUGGCUCUUUCAGAGUCCGAGUUGUAAUUUGAAGAAGGUAUCUUUGGGUCUGGCUCUUGUCUAUGUUUCUUGGAACAGAACGUCACAGAGGGUGAGAAUCCCGUGCGAUGAGAUGAUCCAGGCCUAUGUAAAGUUCCUUCGAAGAGUCGAGUUGUUUGGGAAUGCAGCUCUAAGUGGGUGGUAAAUUCCAUCUAAAGCUAAAUAUUGGCGAGAGACCGAUAGCGAACAAGUACAGUGAUGGAAAGAUGAAAAGAACUUUGAAAAGAGAGUGAAAAAGUACGUGAAAUUGUUGAAAGGGAAGGGCUUGAGAUCAGACUUGGUAUUUUGUAUGUUACUUCUUCGGGGGUGGCCUCUACAGUUUAUCGGGCCAGCAUCAGUUUGGGCGGUAGGAGAAUUGCGUUGGAAUGUGGCACGGCUUCGGUUGUGUGUUAUAGCCUUCGUCGAUACUGCCUUUUUAUACUGACCUUUGCUUUUUAUACCUUGGAUGUUGGCAUAUUGAUCUUAAUUCUCCCGCCUUGAAACACG
rnacentral:rRNA from 1 species